rnacentral:rRNA from 1 species
UACGGAGGGUGCAAGUGUUAAUCGGAAUUACUGGGCGUAAAGCGCACGCAGGUGGCUGAGUCAGUCGAUUGUGAAAGCCCUGGGCUUAACCUGGGAAUUGCAGUCGAUACUACUCAGCUAGAGUAUGGGAGAGGGCAGUGGAAUUCCCGGUGUAGCGGUGAAAUGCGUAGAUAUCGGGAGGAACAUCAGUGGCGAAGGCGGCUGCCUGGCCCAAUACUGACACUCAGGUGCGACAGCGUGGGGAGCAAACAGG